AACGCGUGAGAAUCUGCCUCGAGGAGGGGGAUAACAGCGGGAAACUGCUGCUAAUACCCCAUAUGCCGAAAGGUGAAAAGAAAUUUGCCUUGAGAGGGGCUCGCGUCCGAUUAGCUAGUUGGUGAGGUAAGAGCUUACCAAGGCGACGAUCGGUAGCUGGUCUGAGAGGAUGAGCAGCCACACUGGGACUGAGACACGGCCCAGACUCCUACGGGAGGCAGCAGUGGGGAAUUUUCCGCAAUGGGCGAAAGCCUGACGGAGCAACGCCGCGUGGGGGAAGAAGGCCUUUGGGUUGUAAACUCCUUUUCUCAGGGAAGAAGCACUGACGGUACCUGAGGAAUCAGCCUCGGCUAACUCCGUGCCAGCAGCCGCGGUAAUACGGAGGAGGCAAGCGUUAUCCGGAAUUAUUGGGCGUAAAGCGUUCGUAGGCGGCAUUUCAAGUCUGCUGUCAAAGGCCGAGGCUCAACUUCGGAAAGGCAGUGGAAACUGAAAAGCUAGAGGUCGGUAGGGGCAGAGGGAAUUCCCAGUGUAGCGGUGAAAUGCGUAGAUAUUGGGAAGAACACCGGUGGCGAAAGCGCUCUGCUGGCCGACCCGACGCUGA
rnacentral:rRNA from 1 species